AUUGGAGUUUACUUUCACUUUGACCAAACUUUGUGGCGCAGAUGAUUUUCUCCAUCUGAAGGCUUUUUUUGUGUCAGUUAAAGUUCACUCACACAAGAAGCUGAGGAAAAAGAAGCUUGAAGGAGAGAGCUGCAGAGGGAUGAAGUUCAUAGGAAAAAACUGAGUGAAGGUAGAAAGUGUGUGUGAGCUGAUGUGGAUGUGAAUUCAGCAUCAUGAAUCAGUGUGAG